AAGCUUUAAGUGAAGAGUUUGAUCCUGGCUCAGAUUGAACGCUGGCGGCAUGCCUAAUACAUGCAAGUCGAACGGUAACGCAAGAAGCUUGCUU
rnacentral:rRNA from 1 species